UCGGAUUUCGAAAGCCGAGAGCCG
rnacentral:siRNA from 1 species